GAACGGGUGAGUAACACGUGGGCAAUCUGCCCUUCACUCUGGGACAAGCCCUGGAAACGGGGUCUAAUACCGGAUAACACCUGCCCGGGCAUCUGGGUGGGUUAAAAGCUCCGGCGGUGAAGGAUGAGCCCGCGGCCUAUCAGCUUGUUGGUGAGGUAGUGGCUCACCAAGGCGACGACGGGUAGCCGGCCUGAGAGGGCGACCGGCCACACUGGGACUGAGACACGGCCCAGACUCCUACGGGAGGCAGCAGUGGGGAAUAUUGCACAAUGGGCGAAAGCCUGAUGCAGCGACGCCGCGUGAGGGAUGACGGCCUUCGGGUUGUAAACCUCUUUCAGCAGGGAAGAAGCGAAAGUGACGGUACCUGCAGAAGAAGCGCCGGCUAACUACGUGCCAGCAGCCGCGGUAAUACGUAGGGCGCAAGCGUUGUCCGGAAUUAUUGGGCGUAAAGAGCUCGUAGGCGGCUUGUCACGUCGGGUGUGAAAGCCCGGGGCUUAACCCCGGGUCUGCAUUCGAUACGGGCUAGCUAGAGUGUGGUAGGGGAGAUCGGAAUUCCUGGUGUAGCGGUGAAAUGCGCACAUAUCAAGAGGAACACCGGUGGCCGAAGGCGGAUCUCUGGGCCAUUACUGACGCUGAGGAGCG
rnacentral:rRNA from 1 species